rnacentral:tRNA from 1 species
GGCCGGUUAGCUCAGUGGUUUGAGCACGGUGGUGGCAACAAGGAUCAACACUGAGGGCGCGGGUUAAAUUCCCGCUCGGUCC